CAUGCUCACGUAUGAGCAGCCCGCAGCCAAUACAACUACAAUAAAAGCAGCAACAGUGGCAGCAGCAGCGAGCUGAGGGCUGAGAACAGAGCGCACAUCAGAUCAGAGAGUCAUCACUUGGUACAUGGGCAUUGUAUUGUAUGUAUGUAUUGGAGUAGUUUUUCACAAUCUAUUGAAUAAGCCUCAGCUUAUAAACAAUGCUACGCGGUAAGCAGAUGUAGAUUUAAUACUUUUACACUAUUCAAUUGAAAUUCACUUUUUAACAAUUUUCCUCCCAGUGAAUUUCUACAGAUAUUCACAAAAAUUUGGCGAGGAAACGUUUUCGUACGUCUUAACGCCGCCGCAAACAUUUUCGAUUAAACGACGGCCAGUGUGAGCAAAGAAACAAAAGAGCGCGAAAUGCGGAGAGCAAACCAACCAACCAACCAGCCAGUCAGCCAGCCAGCGAGCCAGGCAGCGAACAGACGGAGAGAGCGCAAGAAACAAAAACGGGUGGAUGAGACGGAGAGUAAAUGCGCGCGCACAGUGUUGCUUUGGAAUUCUUCAUUUUCAUUUUAGUAGCUGUUGUUGCUAUAUUGCUGCAGUGGCAACGGGCUACGACUACUAGCAGCAUAUCAAACAGGGAGGCAACGCAGCAGAGCGACAUCGCGAGCCUCUUCGAGCAUAAAAAGAAAAAAGUAAAAUGGGGAAAAUGCUGCUUUGAGUAUUAAAGUAAAUACAUGGUGGCUAUGUAUAUAAUAUGUCGCACACAUAUAAUCUACGCUCAGCACACAAAUGUAUUCACGGCGUGUAGCAAAUCUUGUUGCCGUGCGUUCAAAUGGCAUUCUGUGUGGCAGAAAACAUUUUGUGGUAGCGGCCGAGCGAAUGGAUGUGUGCGGAGCACAGCACGCUGUAUUCAGUCGAAAAAUCACGCCAAACUUCUAUCACCAGAAUGGUUCGACGUUGGAGUAGAGAGGAAGCAUAAUUCGAACAGAAUAUAGACAGAUAGGCAAGAUCACGAGUUAAAUUGUCAUUUUUCGUUGAAGCUUCACGUUUUCGAUGUGUAAUCUAAAACAAUUACGAAAAAUCAAGCAAAGUGCAAAAAUGGCUCAUAAACCUGAAUACGCAAAGCUUACGUAAGUGCAAAAGGCACGACAGUUACAUGCGGUGUGACAGAGUCAGCAUGACUCUCUAAUGAACGGCAACAGGGUGUUUUUAUCGUUCGUCAUGGAGCGCAUAUAGCAUAGCGACACCCUGUCGUGAGAGCGCACUUUUGGUGAGAGAUGAGAACACCCACACUGAGAAAACGGCAUACAAAGAUAGAGGCCACUCGCUCACGAGUUCGGCGGAGCAAUAGCGAUGAUAUUGCAGUACAUAAUGAAAUCGACAAAACUGAAAAUCAGAAACCAAACAGACGAGUAGCUGGCUACAACACUGCCACGGUUACAGUUUGCGGCGGUGGCGACGAUGACGACGCGGCAUACACCUUGCCUCACCUCACUAUCCACUUGGCUCACGCAUACAAACACACGCACGCACACACAUUCAUGCAGUUAUGUACAUAUGUAUGUGUAUAUUCUUUGCAAGUGGUGGUGAAAUUGUAGUUUUUGCUGCUGUCAAAACGGAAACGAGAAGAAGCACAAAUACAGAGACACCACAGCGGGCAUAGAAAGCAACCAGACAAUUCGAGCACAAGGUAAAAAAAAGGAGAAAAAAGUGGAUGCAAGUUGCGGCGAUGCCAACGCCGUCGUCUCACCAUGACAAUGGUGUGUACACAUACAUAUGUAUGCAUAUCGUACAUACAUACAUACAUUCAAUGGCCAGCAGGGAGAGCAUUGGUCUUGCCGCUCUCUUCCCAUCUCUUUUUCUCUGCAAUGGUCAAACACAUGUUGGAAUUUGAUCGGCCGCGAGAAAAGAGCAACUCAAUAACUUAGCGGCUGCGAAGCGUCAAUAAAAAUCUGUAUACUUGCGAAUUGUGCGCUCAUCGUUGUCGUCGCCAUCGUCAUGGUGGUGGUGGUGGAAAUGGAAACCUUGCAAUUAUCGAUUUCUUUUUCAUGCGUUCGCUUCUGCUGCAAUGCGCAGCGGGGGCGGCGAGAGAGCAACUUAAGAGUGGAGAGAGCACUCGACAGAAUGAGAGAGUGAGCGCCACUGUCACCUGCUAGCUACACAACAAAUGCAACUGCAACUGCAAUUGCGUUAGUCAAUGCAAAUCGAGUGAACGAAUUUUUAGACACACAUAUGACGCGCUGCCAAAGUUCAAAGUUCACGAGCAGGCGCCUUGUGCAGCAGCAGCAGCAGUAGAAGCAGUUGCAAACGCCUACAAGAGCAGCGCGUAGCAGAGCCUUAGCGUGCACCUACAAGAAAGGCAAGUGCAAAAGGGACAACCACACAUGUGUGCGUGCAUUUGAAUUGUGUCUAUGUGUGCAUGUGUGUGUGAGCUGCACUCUUAAUAUAUGCAGUCCAGUGUACACACACAGGCACAGAAGUUUGUUUGCCUUUUUCCAGGUACUUCCGCUGCUUGUUUACAUGCUCUCGGAUGUUAUUUGCUAUUGCGCAACAAUCAUAUUACAAAAAUAUAUAUAUUUAUAUAUGUAUAUAACGAGUAUACACAACAAAUGUGCAGAAAAGCAGCAAAAGAAUUGUCAACAUAAUGCAAAUUGCGAUUCGUGAAGAACAAUAACAACUGUAAUUUUAUGCCGUGUUGCAAAUUUGCCAUCGUCUCUUGUCAAUUUGUAUGUAAAUGUAACAAGAAUUAUUCACGGUAUCAGAUAAUAGAGUUUACAAUUACGUGCAAAAUCAGCAAAAAUGUGCGAAACCCAAAUUCAUAUUGCAUAAAUCGAAACAAUAAGAAAAAGUGCAGCCAUAAAAGAAAACAAAGCAAAAUUUAUGCGGAAGCUCUUUGAGAUUAGCACGUAAAACUCUCAGAAUAAUAUAAUAUUAUUGAUUAAAAAUCAACAUCAUCUUCUGCUAAACUCAAUGAAAAUGCUGAAAACUUUCCAUUCAUUAAAAACGCAAAGAUUGUUAAUGAAUAUCUUUAUAAAUUUGUAUAUUCUUAGGGCGUAGCCCUCUUUAUUGGCGAUAAUAAAUUAGUUAUCAACUCUUCUUUCAGCAGUUGGAAUAGUAAAAGAAGCAUAAUAGCACGUAAAACUGAACGUUUCUUAUAUGAUUGGUUAAGAGCCAAGUUAAUCUGCCGCAAAACUCAAUGAAAAUGUUUUAAAAUCAACUAAAAACAUUCCACUCAGUACAAAUUUAGUCGUAAAUAUGUUUACUAAUAUGCACAUUAAGGCGUAGCCUUUUUUGUUUCAUCAAAUAUAAAUAAUCACAUAUUAGUAAUACACUAUUUUAGUAGUUAAAGAAAUGAAAGAUGUACAAUAGCUAAAGACUGAACACAAAGAUUAGGCAUACAAAGAAAAACCUAAAAUAAGCUAAAAGCUAAAAUCAACCUGAACCCAAAAAUAUUCAAAUUCGACUAUUUAUGUAUAUCA
rnacentral:sRNA from 1 species